UACGAAGGGGGGCUAGCGUUGCUCGGAAUCACUGGGCGUAAAGGGUGCGUAGGCGGGUCUUUAAGUCAGGGGUGAAAUCCUGGAGCUCAACUCCAGAACUGCCUUUGAUACUGAAGAUCUUGAGUUCGGGAGAGGUGAGUGGAACUGCGAGUGUAGAGGUGAAAUUCGUAGAUAUUCGCAAGAACACCAGUGGCGAAGGCGGCUCACUGGCCCGAUACUGACGCUGAGGCACGGAAAAGCGUGGGGAGCAAACAGGG
rnacentral:rRNA from 1 species